GACGAACGCUGGCGGCGUGCUUAACACAUGCAAGUCGAACGGAAAGGCCCUGCUUGCAGGGUACUCGAGUGGCGAACGGGUGAGUAACACGUGGGUGAUCUGCCCUGCACUUCGGGAUAAGCCUGGGAAACUGGGUCUAAUACCGGAUAGGAGCCACUUUCAGCGUGAUGGUUGGAAAGUUUUUUCGGUGUAGGAUGAGCUCGCGGCCUAUCAGCUUGUUGGUGGGGUAAUGGCCUACCAAGGCGGCGACGGGUAGCCGGCCUGUGAGGGUGGACGGCCACAUUGGGACUGAGGUGCGGCCCAGACUCCUACGGGAGGCAGCAGGGGGGAAUAUUGCACAAUGGGCGCAAGCCUGAUGCAGCGACGCCGCGUGGUGGAUGGCGGCCUUCGGGUUGUAAACUACUUUCGCUAGGGACGAAGCUUUUUGUGACGGUACCUAGAUAAGAAGCACCGGCUAACUACGUG
rnacentral:rRNA from 1 species